rnacentral:rRNA from 1 species
UAUUGAAGGUGAUGCCUGCCCAGUGACCUGGUGUUCAACGGCCGCGGUAUCCUAACCGUGCAAAGGUAGCGCAAUCAAUUGUCCCAUAAAUCGGGACCCGUAUGAAUGGCUAAACGAGGUCUUAACUGUCUCUUACAGGCAAUCGGUGAAAUUGAUCUCCCUGUGCGAAAGCAGGGAUAAACUCAUAAGACGAGAAGACCCUGUGGAACUUCAAAAUCAGCAACCACCCCAAAUUACAUUCACACCCACUCGGGUUCACUUUCUUAACGGGCGACUGGUUCGCAUUUUUUCGGUUGGGGCGACCUUGGAGCAAAACAAAACCUCCAAACAUUGGACCACAUCUCUAGACCAAGAGCAACCUCUCAACGUGCUAACAGCACCCAGACCCAAUACAAUUGAUCAAUGGACCAAGCUACCCCAGGGAUAACAGCGCAAUCUCCUCCAAGAGUCCAUAUCGACGGGGAGGUUUACGACCUCGAUGUUGGAUCAGGACAUCCUAGUGGUGCAGCCGCUACUAAGGGUUC